GAGGGUAUAGCUCAGUGGUGGAGUAUGUGCUUAGCAUGCACGAAGUCCUGGAUUCACUCCCUGGUACCUCA
rnacentral:tRNA from 1 species